rnacentral:lncRNA from 1 species
CCGAGAGAGGACGUGGGGCGGGCACCCCAGUGGGAUGUGGGGCACCCAAUGGGACACGGGACUCACCACUGGGACAUGGGGGACAUGGGGCACCUCAAUGGGACAUGGGGCACCCCAGUGGGACACAGGGCACCCAAUGGGACACGGGGCACCCCAAUGAGAUGCGUGGCACUCCAACGGGACACGGGGCACCCCAUGGGACAGGGGGCACCCCAUGGGACAUGGGACACCCCAAUGAGACGUGGGGCACCCCAAUGGGACACUGGGCACCCCAAUGAGACGUGUGGCACUCCAACGGGACACGGGGCACCCCAUGGGACAUGGGACACGGGGCACCCCAUGGGAUACAGGGGACAUAGGGCACCUCAAUGGGACAUGGGGCACCCAAUGGGACGUGGGGCACCCCAAUGGGACAUGGGACAACCCAAUGGGACGUGGGGCACCCAAUGGGACAUGGGGCACCUCAAUGGGACAUGGGGCACCCCAUGGGAUACAGGGGACAAGGGACACCUCAGUGGGACAUGGGGCACCCCAUGCGAUAUAGGGGACAAGGGACACCUCAAUGGGACACGGGGCACCCCAAUGAGAUGCGUGGCACUCCAACGGGACACGGGGCACCCCAUGGGAUAUAGGGGACAAGGGACACCUCAAUGGGACACGGGGCACCCAAUGAGAUGCGUGGCACUCCAACGGGACACGGGGCACCCCAUGGGAUAUAGGGGGCACCCCGACGCGCCGGCGGCGGCGGCGGGGCGCACCCGAUGCUCUGGAUCAUCAGGUUCUCCUCCUCGGGCCCCAUCUGCACGAUGAGCAACGAGCGGAUCUGGCCCAGGCACUCGAGCAGCGCCGUGGUGUCGGCCACGGAGUGGGCGCUGAUGGUGUAGGCCUUGGGCAGAGCGCGCACCAGCUCCCCCAGCCCGUCGUACUGCCGGUGCAGCAGGCUGAACAUGGCGCGCACCAGCUCGGGGCUCUGGAUGAAGGAUUCCUGCGCCCAGUGCACCAUGGUCUGCGAGAUCAGCUCCUGCAGCGUGCCUGGGGACGGGGGGGCGAGGAUCGGGGCUGAGCACCCACGCGGCCUCGGGGGCCGCCCCUCGGACCCCCUCCCCCCCCCACCCCGAAACUCACGUGGCGCCGGGGGUUCCGGGGGCGUCGCUUCGUCGUCGUCCUCCUCCUUCCGCCGCCGCCCCACCACGCGCUGCACCAACGCCAUCAGGCGCUGCCGCAGCGACGCGUCUUCCUCCUCCUCCUCCUCCUCGCCCUGCAGCUCGAUGCCUGCGGGA